rnacentral:rRNA from 1 species
UACGGAGGAUGCAAGCGUUAUCCGGAUUUAUUGGGUUUAAAGGGUGCGCAGGUUGUUUGAUAAGUCAGUGGUGAAAGUCUGUCGCUUAACGGUAGGAUUGCCAUUGAUACUGUUGGACUUGAAUAUGGAUGAGGUAGGGGGAAUGUGUAGUGUAGCGGUGAAAUGCAUAGAUAUUACACAGAACACCGAUUGCGAAGGCAGCUUACUAAUCCAUCAUUGACGCUGAGGCACGAAAGCGUGGGGAUCAAACAGGA